UACGGAGGAUGCGAGCGUUAUCCGGAUUUAUUGGGUUUAAAGGGUGCGUAGGCGGCUUUUUAAGUCAGCGGUGAAAUUUUGCAGCUUAACUGUAACAGUGCAGUUGAUACUGGGGAGCUAGGAUUUGGUUGCUGUGGGUGGAAUGUGUGGUGUAGCGGUGAAAUGCUUAGAGAUCACACAGAAUAUCGAUUGCGAAGGCAGCUCACAAAGCCAAGAUUGACGCUGAGGCACGAAAGUGUGGGGAUCAAACAGGAUUA
rnacentral:rRNA from 1 species